GUGGAUUAGAUACCCUAGUAGUCCACGCCGUAAACGAUGUCAACUAGCCGUUGGAAUCCUUGAGAUUUUAGUGGCGCAGCUAACGCAUUAAGUUGACCGCCUGGGGAGUACGGCCGCAAGGUUAAAACUCAAAUGAAUUGACGGGGGCCCGCACAAGCGGUGGAGCAUGUGGUUUAAUUCGAAGCAACGCGAAGAACCUUACCUGGCCUUGACAUGCUGAGAACUUUCUAGAGAUAGAUUGGUGCCUUCGGGAACUCAGACACAGGUGCUGCAC
rnacentral:rRNA from 1 species